GCGGUCACAGGAUGGCCUCCGCUUGCUCAGAGGGCUGCAACAUUUUGAAGGAGGUAAGGCCGCAUGCAUGCGCGCUGCUGCAGAAAACAGAAGUCGAAGGUGACAGACAAAGCGAGAGU